UUAAGCGACUAAGCGUACACGGUGGAUGCCCUGGCAGUCAGAGGCGAUGAAGGACGUGCUAAUCUGCGAUAAGCGUCGGUAAGGUGAUAUGAACCGUUAUAACCGGCGAUUUCCGAAUGGGGAAACCCAGUGUGUUUCGACACACUAUCAUUAACUGAAUCCAUAGGUUAAUGAGGCGAACCGGGGGAACUGAAACAUCUAAGUACCCCGAGGAAAAGAAAUCAACCGAGAUUCCCCCAGUAGCGGCGAGCGAACGGGGAGCAGCCCAGAGCCUGAAUCAGUAUGUGUGUUAGUGGAAGCGUCUGGAAAGGCGCGCGAUACAGGGUGACAGCCCCGUACACAAAAAUGCACAUAUUGUGAGCUCGAUGAGUAGGGCGGGACACGUGGUAUCCUGUCUGAAUAUGGGGGGACCAUCCUCCAAGGCUAAAUACUCCUGACUGACCGAUAGUGAACCAGUACCGUGAGGGAAAGGCGAAAAGAACCCCGGCGAGGGGAGUGAAAAAGAACCUGAAACCGUGUACGUACAAGCAGUGGGAGCACGCUUAGGCGUGUGACUGCGUACCUUUUGUAUAAUGGGUCAGCGACUUAUAUUCUGUAGCAAGGUUAACCGAAUAGGGGAGCCGAAGGGAAACCGAGUCUUAACUGGGCGUUAAGUUGCAGGGUAUAGACCCGAAACCCGGUGAUCUAGCCAUGGGCAGGUUGAAGGUUGGGUAACACUAACUGGAGGACCGAACCGACUAAUGUUGAAAAAUUAGCGGAUGACUUGUGGCUGGGGGUGAAAGGCCAAUCAAACCGGGAGAUAGCUGGUUCUCCCCGAAAGCUAUUUAGGUAGCGCCUCGUGAAUUCAUCUCCGGGGGUAGAGCACUGUUUCGGCAAGGGGGUCAUCCCGACUUACCAACCCGAUGCAAACUGCGAAUACCGGAGAAUGUUAUCACGGGAGACACACGGCGGGUGCUAACGUCCGUCGUGAAGAGGGAAACAACCCAGACCGCCAGCUAAGGUCCCAAAGUCAUGGUUAAGUGGGAAACGAUGUGGGAAGGCCCAGACAGCCAGGAUGUUGGCUUAGAAGCAGCCAUCAUUUAAAGAAAGCGUAAUAGCUCACUGGUCGAGUCGGCCUGCGCGGAAGAUGUAACGGGGCUAAACCAUGCACCGAAGCUGCGGCAGCGACACUAUGUGUUGUUGGGUAGGGGAGCGUUCUGUAAGCCUGUGAAGGUGUGCUGUGAGGCAUGCUGGAGGUAUCAGAAGUGCGAAUGCUGACAUAAGUAACGAUAAAGCGGGUGAAAAGCCCGCUCGCCGGAAGACCAAGGGUUCCUGUCCAACGUUAAUCGGGGCAGGGUGAGUCGACCCCUAAGGCGAGGCCGAAAGGCGUAGUCGAUGGGAAACAGGUUAAUAUUCCUGUACUUGGUGUUACUGCGAAGGGGGGACGGAGAAGGCUAUGUUGGCCGGGCGACGGUUGUCCCGGUUUAAGCGUGUAGGCUGGUUUUCCAGGCAAAUCCGGAAAAUCAAGGCUGAGGCGUGAUGACGAGGCACUACGGUGCUGAAGCAACAAAUGCCCUGCUUCCAGGAAAAGCCUCUAAGCAUCAGGUAACAUCAAAUCGUACCCCAAACCGACACAGGUGGUCAGGUAGAGAAUACCAAGGCGCUUGAGAGAACUCGGGUGAAGGAACUAGGCAAAAUGGUGCCGUAACUUCGGGAGAAGGCACGCUGAUAUGUAGGUGAAGUCCCUCGCGGAUGGAGCUGAAAUCAGUCGAAGAUACCAGCUGGCUGCAACUGUUUAUUAAAAACACAGCACUGUGCAAACACGAAAGUGGACGUAUACGGUGUGACGCCUGCCCGGUGCCGGAAGGUUAAUUGAUGGGGUCAGCGCAAGCGAAGCUCUUGAUCGAAGCCCCGGUAAACGGCGGCCGUAACUAUAACGGUCCUAAGGUAGCGAAAUUCCUUGUCGGGUAAGUUCCGACCUGCACGAAUGGCGUAAUGAUGGCCAGGCUGUCUCCACCCGAGACUCAGUGAAAUUGAACUCGCUGUGAAGAUGCAGUGUACCCGCGGCAAGACGGAAAGACCCCGUGAACCUUUACUAUAGCUUGACACUGAACAUUGAGCCUUGAUGUGUAGGAUAGGUGGGAGGCUUUGAAGUGUGGACGCCAGUCUGCAUGGAGCCGACCUUGAAAUACCACCCUUUAAUGUUUGAUGUUCUAACGUUGACCCGUAAUCCGGGUUGCGGACAGUGUCUGGUGGGUAGUUUGACUGGGGCGGUCUCCUCCUAAAGAGUAACGGAGGAGCACGAAGGUUGGCUAAUCCUGGUCGGACAUCAGGAGGUUAGUGCAAUGGCAUAAGCCAGCUUGACUGCGAGCGUGACGGCGCGAGCAGGUGCGAAAGCAGGUCAUAGUGAUCCGGUGGUUCUGAAUGGAAGGGCCAUCGCUCAACGGAUAAAAGGUACUCCGGGGAUAACAGGCUGAUACCGCCCAAGAGUUCAUAUCGACGGCGGUGUUUGGCACCUCGAUGUCGGCUCAUCACAUCCUGGGGCUGAAGUAGGUCCCAAGGGUAUGGCUGUUCGCCAUUUAAAGUGGUACGCGAGCUGGGUUUAGAACGUCGUGAGACAGUUCGGUCCCUAUCUGCCGUGGGCGCUGGAGAACUGAGGGGGGCUGCUCCUAGUACGAGAGGACCGGAGUGGACGCAUCACUGGUGUUCGGGUUGUCAUGCCAAUGGCACUGCCCGGUAGCUAAAUGCGGAAGAGAUAAGUGCUGAAAGCAUCUAAGCACGAAACUUGCCCCGAGAUGAGUUCUCCCUGACCCUUUAAGGGUCCUGAAGGAACGUUGAAGACGACGACGUUGAUAGGCCGGGUGUGUAAGCGCAGCGAUGCGUUGAGCUAACCGGUACUAAUGAACCGUGAGGCUUAACCUU
rnacentral:rRNA from 1 species